ACCGAGGUUUAAUUCAAUCUAAUCUGGAUUAUGGGUGUGUUAUAUUCAAUUCAGCAUCUAAGUCAUUAUUGUAGAAAUUAGAUGUGAUACAGACUAGGGCUUUAAGAAUAUGUUGUGGAGCAAUUAGAACAUCUUCGGUAAAUGCAGUUAGAAUAUUGAUGGGUGAAAUGCCAUUAAAUUGGAGAAGGAGGAAACUAGCCACAACAUACUGGAGGAGUGAAGGAGUGUUAUUAGCUAGGUUCAGACUGGGACACACCGGUUUAAAUUCAACUUUGGCAUGUAUGAGAUGUGUGACAGCUGUGUUGUGUUAGAAACUGUGGCGUGUUUUGUUUGUGAUCAGUGGUAUGACGUAUUUCUUAAAAUUUCUUCGUUGAGAGCAUAAGUCAGUAAGAGUACUGGAUAUUUGGGGUAAAACAGAUGCACAGGGCCAUAGACCACUUUUUAACAUUUCUAUACGACACUGGUUUAGACAGUAGAAUAUACUAUGAUGCAAUGCUUGGAUCGGGACUAUUUGGGGAGUUGGUGAAGGAUGGAGGAGCUGAACGCGCAGCGCCAUCUAAUGUUGGAUUCCUGAUAUGGUUCUGUGAUUUUAGCAGAGCAUCGUUAUUGUAGGAUAUAGUUCACAAAAUACGCUAGGUGGCGGUAAUGCUCCUAGGAGUGAACGGCCAUUAACCAGAAGAAAAAGAACAUGCUCGUAGAGCCACAAUUAUUAAUGUAAACACUGCACAGCGACAGUGCAGCAUGCCGUUUGAUGGGAGUAAGUGGUAUAAGCGCACAGCACAGCUGUAUGCAAUCGGAACUUGGACUUUGCUUGGGUCUUGUGUUUAUUACACAUAUUUCAAAUGCAACGAACGAGUUGUUAUACAUGAAGAGGAGGAGGAGGAUGUACCACCAAAUGUGAAAAUAUUUAAAUCAUCUCACAUGUCAGCAAAACUAACCUACAAAGAAAAUUACGUCCCAUAUUCCACAAGAUUUCUGGAACUUUUCAGACCCAAAGCUGAUGACGCUUCAGGAAGUCAAAAUAAUGAAAAAUAAAAUGUCAUUUUGAAUUACACUGCUGUGCACUGCUGUACUCCCCUACAUUGUCCAUGAACAGUUUUCCAUGAAUCUACUUUAAAUUAAAAAAAAAAAAGAAGAA